UGUUGUGCAUGAUGAGAAAUAUAAAUUAUCACAGUUAUCCCUGUCUGAUGCAUAUUUGUGCUGAUUAUAUGUAUUCUGACACAAGC
rnacentral:snoRNA from 1 species